UCUAUUAUUUGGUGCAGAUCGAAUUGAUAUAGGUGGUAUACUACCAAUUGAAGACAUUGCUAUGGAGUUGAGGAUCACUUGUCUGAUGCGGAGGUUUCAAACGAUUUUUUUAAACCACUUGUUGGAUCCUCUCAAAAGGAGAGAAGUCAUCCCCUUUGAAAGAAGGUAAUUCUGAAGACCCUGAAGAAUGCAAUUCUGUAAAUACAUCAAAUUCUGAACCUAAAUCUUCAAAAUCAGCAAAGAGAAAUAAAUAGAAACAUGAUGAAGUUAAGAAGUUGAUUGGUAUGUGUGAGGAACUGAAUGACUGAUUUCAAGUUGGAAAGGAAGGAUGCCCCCUGAGAAGAAAUAUCUCAGAAUUUGUUGUCUGAUGAGAUCAGCAGAAGUCCUGGGCAGUGUAAAUCUCUGUGGACAUCUUUGUUACAGAAAUACGAGAUUAUUGGUAUGUUUGGAAGAGGAUCAAAUUAUCAAGGAGUUGGAACCCGGUGAAGAACAACAAAAGCACCAAACUAGAAGGCUAAAGAAGGCACAACGCCUGGGCGCCCACUCAAGGGGCGCUGUUAAACAUAAUGAAAAUUAUAUAUGAGAUUAAUCUUCCUUGUGUUAAACACACAUAGGGUUCUCUAUUUAUAAUAGAAAAAAAUAUGGGAUAAGCCCAAAAUACAAAUAAUAAAUAAUAACAAACUAACUGAAAGAUAAACUGAAAGAUAAAAGAUAUAAUAUUUCUAACACUCCCCCUCAAGCUGGAGCAUACAAAUUGUAUGAACCAAGCUUGAAAUAACUAAACUAGGUUUUGAACUAGAUGAUUUUUCUUCAAGAGUGAGACAAUAAACACUUCAACUUCAACUUCAAAAGUGUGAACCAAGCUUGUGAAACUUCAACUUCAAAAGUGUACGAAGGAGAGCAGCAGAGAAGGAGAGCAGCAGAGAAGGAGAGCAGCAGAGAAGGAGAGCAGCAGAGAAGGAGGCAAUAAACACUUUAACUUCAAAAGUGGAUGAAGGAGAGCAGCGGAGAAGGAGGCAAUAAACACUUUAACUUCAAAAGUGGAUGAAGGAGAGCAAUAAGCGCAACAAUCUGUGCGGCAAAUACAAUAAGAAAGGAAGAACAAGGCAAGACAACAAUACAGAGGCGAAACCCUCUACGGCAAAUUACGCAGAAAGAAGAAGGAGGUUCGAAGAUACAGAAGCAUGCGGCGAGAAGAAGACAGAUUUCGAUGGCAGCAAUGGCUGGAAGGUCUAAACAGAGAGAGGGAGGUCCGGUGAUUCAGAGGAGGCAGUGGUUCCCAGGAGACUUGUCUCUGAUUCUGGGUGCUGAGAUUUAAGAAGAAGAGAAAAUGAAUCUUACAAAAUUUUUAGGGGCUGCCGGCGGCCAUGACGGCCGGCCACCGGCAGACAGUAAAGACCACCGGAAGAGAUCAGAAAACCUGCUCUGAUACCAUGUUAAACAUAAUGAAAAUUAUAUAUGAGAUUAAUCUUCCUUGUGUUAAACACACAUAGGGUUCUCUAUUUAUAAUAGAAAAAAAUAUGGGAUAAGCCCAAAAUACAAAUAAUAAAUAAUAACAAACUAAUUGAAAGAUAAACUGAAAGAUAAAAGAUAUAAUAUUUCUAACAGGCGCUGAGGGGCAAUUGUCACGUAAGGACCCCUGGGCGCCCUCUUAUGGGGCGCUGAGCACCACUCACCACGUAUGGACGCCUGAGCGCCACCUCUAGGGGCGUUGAGCGCCAUUCACCACACAAGGACACCUGAGCGCCACCUCUAGGGGCGUUGAGCGCCAUUCAUCACGCAACCACGCCUGGGCGCCCCAGUUAGGGCGAUGAGUGUCAGUCACUUUUGCCGACAUGGAACUCUUGACCUAUUUAAAGGCUUUUACGUGAUAAGGUGGAUCUCUUUUAACGGCUGAAGCACAUAAACCCUAAUUUCGACCUCUUGGAGCAAGAUUGGGCGUGUGGGAACUCUCCCUUUCUUUUCCUUGGGUUUUCAUUUCUUCCACAUUCUUCCAUUGUAAGCCAAGGUUUUCCAUGACAAUGGAGAGCUAAAUUCAUUUGUUGUUGGGGAAAGAUGUAACCUCUUAACUUCAUGUAUUUGAACAUGUUUUGAAUAUAUUAAGCUUCUUUUAUUGAAUGUUAGUAAUUUUCUCUUA